UACGUAGGGUGCGAGCGUUAAUCGGAAUUACUGGGCGUAAAGGGCGCGUAGGCGGACGGCUUUGUCGGGCGUGAAAUUCCAGGGCUUAACCUUGGGGCUGCGUUCGAGACGGGUUGUCUAGAGUUUGGAAGAGGGUCGUGGAAUUCCCAGUGUAGAGGUGAAAUUCGUAGAUAUUGGGAAGAACACCGGUGGCGAAGGCGGCGACCUGGUCCUUGACUGACGCUGAGGCGCGAAAGCGUGGGGAGCAAACAGG
rnacentral:rRNA from 1 species